GGAGGAGGAGGAGGAAGAGGAGGAAGGUUCGGGUGGGUCGGGGUCUUCUGCACAGCUCUCAGACCAAAAAAACGAAGAAAGGGUCAGCUGUACCUCCUGAGAAUCAAACGGAUUUAUUCCAGACUUCAUCAGCAUGUUUGCUAGGACUAAAUAUUUUAAGCACGUAGUUCUUCUUGGACUCCCUGAUUCAUCAUAAUUUUUGAACGCUUCAAAGAAAUCAGUAUGUGCCUUUUCAAAUUCACCUUCUCGUAGGUGCAUUUUGCCACCACAUUCUGUGGGAGAAAAAUUAAAGACAGCUGCUAAUGAUUUA